GGGGAGUGCGGUCGCAAGAUUAAAACUCAAAGGAAUAGACGGGGACCCGCACAAGUGGUGGAGCAUGUGGUUUAAUUCGAAGAUACGCGAAGAACCUUACCUANCCUUGACNUAUUUUAGAACACUUUANAGAUNGAUUGGUGCCUUCGGGAGCUAAUAUACAGGUGCUGCACGGCUGUCGUUAGCUCGUGUCGCGAGAUGUUGGGUUAAGUCCCGCAACGAGCGCAACCCUCGUCACUAGUUACUAACGUUUCNUCCGAGGACUCUAUUGAGACUGCCUUCGUAAAGAGGAGGAAGGUGAGGACGACGUCAAGUCAUCAUGGCCCUUACNGCUAGGGCAACUCUCUUGCUACGUGUCCAGGAUAAUGAGGAGCGAUUCCNCGAGGUGGAGCAAAUCUAUAAUUCUGGUCUCACUUCGCAUUGUUGUCUGCAACUCGACUACAUGAAGCUGGAAUCAAUUGUAAUCGGAAAUCUUCUAGCUACGGGUAAUACUUUCCCGGGUCUUGUACACACCGGCCGU
rnacentral:rRNA from 1 species